CAACCCUCAGGCCUUGCCUGGUGUUGGGGACCUGCGCCUGCAGUCCCCGAAAGACAGCGGCGGGCUCGUCCCGGCUCCGAGCGUAGUAACUUACGUCGCUCUGGGUGCCGGGCGGGCUCCGGCCGUGAACCCUUAUUUCUCAAGG
rnacentral:misc_RNA from 1 species